rnacentral:rRNA from 1 species
AUUGAACGCUGGCGGCAUGCUUUACACAUGCAAGUCGAACGGCAGCACGAAAGCGCUUGCUCUUUUGGUGGCGAGUGGCGAACGGGUGAGUAAUGCAUCGGAACGUACCGAGUAAUGGGGGAUAACUGUCCGAAAGGAUAGCUAAUACCGCAUACGCUUUGAGAAGGAAAGUGGGGGCUCUUCGGACCUCACGUUAUUCGAGCGGCCGAUGUCUGAUUAGCUAGUUGGUGGGGUAAAGGCCUACCAAGGCGACGAUCAGUAGCGGGUCUGAGAGGAUGAUCCGCCACACUGGGACUGAGACACGGCCCAGACUCCUACGGGAGGCAGCAGUGGGGAAUUUUGGACAAUGGGCGCAAGCCUGAUCCAGCCGUGCCGCGUGUCUGAAGAAGGCCUUCGGGUUGUAAAGGACUUUUGUUAGGGAAGAAAAGGAUAGUGUUAAUACCAUUAUCUGCUGACGGUACCUAAAGAAUAAGCACCGGCUAACUACGUG